rnacentral:rRNA from 1 species
AUGGUGUCAGCGCCGGAAAACACGUCGUCGACGCACAGAUCAGCGCUUGUCGGAGGCACGCACCAGUUUCAGAUCGUCGGCUACGGCGUGCGCAAGGUCAGCAGCCCCAUCAGGUCCGGCGACUUCCAUGCGGGCGGCCACACCUGGGCUCUCGCCUGCGAAUUCGGUGACCAAGGAGAUGGUCACCUCGCGUCCAUCACCCUCCAGAUGGUCGGCAACAGCAAGGCCAACGUCGUCGCAAUGGUCAGCCUCCGCAUCGACGACCCGCGCGGCCGGUGGCCGGCUGCCCUGUGGAGGAGCGACGACCCCAACGUCUUCUCCAAGACCGGCAACAGCUGGAAGCUGACGGUGCCAAAUUCGUUCCGCGAACAUGAGGCGCGCUACGUGGAGAACGACCGCCUCACCAUCCUUUGUGCCGUCGACGUCCUCAAGGAGGAGCUCGCCGCCACCCUCAAGAACAAGGACCGCUCGGUAUCCGUUGUGCCGUCGUCGCCCACCGUCUCUCAAGAUCUCGCCAAGCUUAUGCCGACGGACGCCGAGAUGACUCCCGGCUGCGUGCCACCGGACGUGACGUUCGUGGUGGAGCAGAGCGAGAUCAAGGCGCACAAGCUCGUGCUCGCCGUGCGGUCGCCGGUCUUGAUCGCGGAGUUGGACUUGCACAGCACCACCACCACCGUGGGGCCGUGCGUCGUCAGGAUCGACGACAUGAGCGUCUCCACCUUCAAGGCCAUGCUCCGCUUCAUCUACACCGACGAGAUGCCCAUCAAACCAAACAGCAACGAUAUGCCACGGCCGCGGCGCGCCUGCAAAGAGAAGUACGCGUCGAGGCGCCGUGAAACCAUGGCGCGCGACCUGCUAGUGGCCGCCGACAGGUACGGCCUGGAGAGGCUGAGGCUCAUGUGCGAGAAGAUCCUGACUGAGAGCCUCAACGUAGCAACCGUCAUGUCGACGUUGCUGCUGGUACGCGGCCGGCACAGCUGCCGGCAGCUCGAGGAAUCCUGCAUUGAGUAUAUUGCAUCCCAUCCAGAUGUGUACGCCGCCGUGAAGGGGACGGAGGGGUACCAGAAGCUCAAGGAAAACUCCAGCUCUUCUAUAAUACUCGAGGUCAUGGACAGAGUAGCCAUGCAUAGCUUGGACCGCAACCGCUCCUCCUCCGACGGCAUCAACUGCCCGCGGCCAGCAGACAAGAGCUGUUCCACGUCCACGUAUUACGUGUCGGAGGUGGCGUGUGGCGCGCACGAGUUCAAGAUCCCAAACUUCAAGGCCGUUCAGAGGAGCCAUGGCCUUGGCCAACCAAUAUAUUCUGGCAUUUUCAAGGUCGGUGGCCACGACUGGAAGAUAAGGUUGUACCCGUCGGGGAAUGCCACCGUGGUGGAACAAGACGACGAGUACAUCUCCGUCUUCCUCGAGCUGGUGUCUGAUCCUCCUCCUGUACAAACCGCCGGCGUGAAGACCGCCAUGUGCUUCAAGAUCCAAGACCCCAGCCGGCCGUCGUCGCCGUUCAAGGAACCCUACACUGCUAGUCGGACUAGCACCACUCGCGUUGGAGUCACUGUAAUCGUGCCGCCCUCCCAAAUCUCCACGCAACUCGAGCAGCUGCUCGCAAGCGAGAAUGGCUCGGACGUGAGCUUCCUAGUCGAGGCAAACGAGAUCCGUGCGCACAGGCUCGUGAUCGCCGCGCGGGCACCAGCCUUACACGAAGCGGCGGCGGUGGCCACCAAGAACAAGGAGGAGGAUCACGCCGCUGCCGUGGUACGGGUCGACGACAUGAAGGCUGCGGUGUUCAAGGCCGUGCUCCAUUUUAUCUACACCGACGAGCUCCUGCCUGGAGAUAGCACCAGGUUGCUUGCUGGGGACAUGCUCACGGCGGCGUGCCGGUUUGGGCUGACGAGAAUGAAGGCCAUGUGUGAGAACUUGCUGUGCGAGUCCUUGACGAAAGAUAACGUGUUGGCCACUGUGAAGCUGGCGCGCCAUCACCAUUGCAAGGGGCUUGAAGAUUACUGCAUCGAGUUCGUCUCCACCCCGGACGUGGCCAAGGAACUGCUGAAAACUUUCAUCGGCUUGCAGGAUUAG